rnacentral:rRNA from 1 species
CGAAGGGGGCUAGCGUUGUUCGGAAUGACUGGGCGUAAAGGGCGCGUAGGCGGCCGAUUUAGUCAGGCGUGAAAGCCCCGGGCUCAACCUGGGAACGGCGCUUGAUACUGAUUGGCUUGAGGACGGGAGAGGAUGGUGGAAUUCCCAGUGUAGAGGUGAAAUUCGUAGAUAUUGGGAAGAACACCGGUGGCGAAGGCGGCCAUCUGGACCGUUUCUGACGCUGAGGCGCGAAAGCGUGGGGAGCAAACAGGAUUAGAUACCCUGGUAGUCCACGCUGUAAACGAUGUGUGCUAGACGUUGGGGGUUAAGCCUCCGGUGUCGCAGCUAACGCGUUAAGCACACCGCCUGGGGAGUACGGCCGCAAGGUUA